UGAACAACACUCAGCUAAGGAUUGAUAAUGGAGGAAAUACUGAAGCAAGUUUCUAGUUGAUGAUUGAGGGCUGAAUGAAUUUUAAUAUUUUCACUAAAUUUGAAAGAAGGUGGGAGGGCAGGUAGAAGAGUAAUGGAGAGGCAAGAUGGGGAAAUAACUGGACUGGGGAAUUGGGAUGAGGGAAUAAAGCAGGAUGAGGGACAAAAGCAGGGAAUGGGGGUAAAUAUAAGGGAGGAAUUGGCAUUUUCAAUGAGAAUAUUGGGAAGGAUGAGAGGGCUGCAAGAGGGAUUGAGGGGCAGGAGAGGAUGUACUGUAAAGGUAUGCAAAUGAGAGGAGUUUUUUUUAACAUAACUAAUGAACCUAUAAGCCUAAAUUGUUGUCAAAUAAAUCUUUGUAAUCUGUUGUUAGCCAUUAUUGGUCUAAAGUACAUUAACUAAGUUUACUAUUGCUCAAUUGAACUGUGUGCAUUAAAUAAGAAACUAUGGUAGAAUUCUAUUUGGAAAUGGUUAGUUUUAGUCUGUAGUUGAGUAGAAGGCUAUUGGAAACAGCCAGGAUAACGGAGCGGA